rnacentral:rRNA from 1 species
UACGUAGGGGGGCAAGCGUUGUCCGGAUUCAUUGGGCGUAAAGAGCGUGUAGGCGGCCUGGAAGGUCAGCUGUGAAAACUCGAGGCUCAACCUCGAGACGUCGGUUGAAACCACCUGGCUAGAGUCCGGAAGAGGAGUGUGGAAUUCCCGGUGUAGCGGUGGAAUGCGCAGAUAUCAGGAGGAACACCGAUGGCGAAGGCAGGUCUCUGGGCAUUAACUGACGCUGGAGGAGCGAAAGCGUGGGGAGCGAACAG